rnacentral:rRNA from 1 species
CCAGACUCCUACGGGAGGCAGCAGUGAGGAAUAUUGGUCAAUGGGCGCGAGCCUGAACCAGCCAAGUCGCGUGAGGGAGGACGGCCCUACGGGUUGUAAACCUCUUUUGCCGGGGAGCAACGGGCGCCACGUGUGGCGCCACUGAGAGUACCCGGAGAAAAAGCAUCGGCUAACUACGUGCCAGCAGCCGCGGUAAUACGUAGGGGGCAAGCGUUAUCCGGAAUUACUGGGUGUAAAGGGUGAGUAGGCGGCAUGGUAAGCCAGAUGUGAAAGCCUUGGGCUUAACCCGAGGAUUGCAUUUGGAACUAUCAAGCUAGAGUACAGGAGAGGAAAGCGGAAUUCCUAGUGUAGCGGUGAAAUGCGUAGAUAUCAGGAGGAACACCGGCGGCGAAGGCGGCCUGCUGGACCGUGACUGACGUUGAGGCUCGAGAGCGUGGGGAGCAAACAGGAUUAGAUACCCUAGUA